rnacentral:lncRNA from 1 species
CUUGGGAUGACCAUCUGAUUCCACAGCCUUUUGCUAGGAUGUAGAUUCCUCCCUAUUUAAUUCAAUGACAUUUGUUUCUAUAAAUUUAAUAUAGACUACAGACUUUUGAGAACGUAUCCCAAGACACAUGAUUACCAGCACCUGGUGUUCAACCUCCUCCUGCCCUGACUGAAAGUCUCCCACCAGGAAAUGACAAAGGCUGCCAGCCUAUUCAUUCUUGAGGAAUUUGAUGUCUCUCAACUGUUAUGUGCAAGUUGGGAAAUAAACUUCCUGCCACUGAAACUCUUCAAUGAGCAAAUACAAGUUUGUUCUUUGUAUUAACAAUGAGAAAAUGAUUUUCUUAAAACCAAACAAAGUAUUGUCUGGACAAAUGUCGGUGUGUUGGAUUAUGUUCCUAAACCAUCAAACAGUAGAUGUACUUCACGUUGCAGUUUUUCAAAGAUCCAUUGAGGAUUCAAGAAAGGUGACGAGUUUCUUCAGUGCAGAGAUUAUGGACCAUUUAUCUUUGUACCCCAUCUCCCAGCAUGUAGUUCCA